rnacentral:piRNA from 1 species
UACAACAGGCAUUUCCAGUCUUUGAAGGA